GACGAACGCUGGCGGCGUGCUUAACACAUGCAAGUCGAACGGAAAGGCCCUGCUUGCAGGGUACUCGAGUGGCGAACGGGUGAGUAACACGUGGGUGAUCUGCCCUGCACUUCGGGAUAAGCCUGGGAAACUGGGUCUAAUACCGGAUAGGAGCCAUUUUUAGUGUGAUGGUUGGAAAGUUUUUUCGGUGUAGGAUGAGCUCGCGGCCUAUCAGCUUGUUGGUGGGGUAAUGGCCUACCAAGGCGGCGACGGGUAGCCGGCCUGAGAGGGUGGACGGCCACGUGGGGACAGAGAGACCGCCCGGACGCCGAGGGGAGGAAGCGGGGGGGAAUAUGGCACAGUGGGCGCAGGCUGGAUGCGGCGGCGCGGGGGGGGUGGUGACGGCCGUGGUGUUGUACACUGCUUUGGCUAGGGACGAAUCUUGUUGUGACGCUAAAGAGAUAAGAAGCCCCGGAUACCUGCUCGCGAGCAGGCGCGGUAAUGGUGGAAGAGCACACGGCUGAA
rnacentral:rRNA from 1 species